UAUUUCUUAGAGGUUAUGGAAAUGAAUCUUAUUUUGAUAUAUGUGAGGGUCAAAAUGGUGAUUGAGCAUAGCCAUCAUGGCUUUACCAGGGGCAAACUCUGCCUAACCGAUCUGACUUCCAGCCUUUUGUAGAAGAGAGAGCACAGCAUGUCCUGUUUCCUAUCCUUGGCAAAGACUUUUACACAGUCUUGCACAGUAUCCUUACAGCCAAACUGGAGAGAGAUGGAUGGAUGGAUAGACUUGGAAGAUGAGUGGAAAACUGGCUGGACCAUCAGAGUGGAGGAAUAAUCUGCUAAGGAGUGAGAUUGGCAGCUGUGGCUGGGGCACUGCUGAGGGCAGGCCCUGCUGCCAGGGCAGGUUGGUGACAGGGUGAGCAGCAACCUCGAACUGAUGGCAGAUAACAGCAGCUGGGAGCCACAGCUGACACCGAGGGGCAUCUCCUGAUGUUCAGCAAAGACCUGGAGCUGGUGGGACAAAUCCUGCACCACCCACACAGGCACCUGCAUGAGAGCAGCUUCUUGCUGCCUGCACCUGCCUGCAGGAGAGUAAAGGAAAGACUUUCCCCAGAGAUGAAUGAAUGAGAAUGUGAGGCUGCAGAAACAACUUGAGCAAGAGAAUUUCUUACUGGACAUGAAAAACAAUCAUUAUGAGAGGGAAAUGGAGCUGGAAGAGGUUGCUCAGAAAGCCUGUGGAAUACCCAUCCUUGGAGAUGUGCAGAACUUGGCUGACAAGGAGGGAGGGCUAUGACCAUCCAUGGUGUUAUAGCUUUGGAUUUUACCCUACUGAGCUAGGGAUUGGACCAGAUUCUCCCCUGAGCUUCCUCAUAACUUGAACAUUCAGGUGAUUCAGUGCCCAGUAUGCUGGGGAGAAAUGUCUUAAUUAUUAAACAUAGGCUUGACCUGUGGGCCUGUGCCAAUGGCUAUUGAGUCUCCAGUGUUACUGAGUGGCACUGACACCGAAGUUAACCAAUCUGGCCAAAUUAAGACAGGCUCUUCAUUCUUGAUUAAGAUUUGUGCAAAGCUGUACCUCCCAUCUGUCUAAACAAGCAUCUACUCUGCUGGUUUUCUUUCUGUGGUAAGAGACUGUAAGGUUUUUUUCAAUAUCUGCUGUCAGUGCAAACAUCAGACCCAUACCUGAGUUGAUAUAUAAAACUUACUUACUGGAUAAAAGCUGUUUUACCUGGAAUGUUGAUAUUUAAAAGCAAAGAGUUCUUAAUAAACUGGCAAGCUUU
rnacentral:lncRNA from 1 species